rnacentral:lncRNA from 1 species
UUUAUCCUUUAAAAGUUUCAAAAAAAUCUCCCUUUUGAAACCUAACCCCCAUAAUAUCAACUUUUUCUUCCUCCAAUCUCAUAAGAUCUUUACCCAACGGAUUUAACGCUGUAAAUAUAGAAUUGACCAAAAAUUUUUUCGUGUUUUUUACUUUUUGAUUUCAGUUGUUUUCCUGGUUACGCCUAGAUUUGCACUCAAUGGCCAUCCAUGGGCCGAAAGCUUCCCCCAUCGUCGCUGGAGUUACUUCCUUGACCACCGGGUUUGAAUCAUCUCCUUUGCCAUCAUCAUUGCUCCAACCUUCCAAACAAAAAGAUCAAAGAUUUUUUAGAUGCCCAUAUUUGCCACAGGUAAAGCAUACCACGGGUAAAGCCUCAAACUUCACCCUUUGUACCCUCUCAUUGAUCAAAACUUGCGAGGUAAGUGGUUUUUUCAGAUCGACAAACACUGCCAUCAUGGUAAACUGAUCCCUUGCUCCACUAUUUGUUUUGAUAUCUAACUUUGCCACUUUUCUGACCAAACUCCCAAUCUCCUCUAGAACCCAAUUCUUGUAUAGAAAUCUCGGUAAACCCGAGAAACGGAUCCAGGCCAGAAUCAUGCUUGGAAAAGGUUUCAACGUGUUAAAAUCCACCAUUCACGGUAGGACUAUAAGAUAGUGUCCAAACACUAUUUACGGACCUUGAGUCAGAGCCAUCUCGUAGUCGACCUUGUUUUGGAAACCGACUAAGUAAUAGUCAUUUUCCAUGUCCAUUACCCGAAAAGAUUGGAAGGGUUUUCCAGAGACUGGAGAUUUGAUUACAAAGGACGCCAUAUCCUAUACUAUGCCCCAAUAGUUUGACGACAAUAGUAGUCUCCAUAUCUUUGACCAGUAAUAUUUUGAUUCAUUUCGAGAAGUUGAUGGUGGGGAUUCCAUUCACGGUGGAUCUAAAAAUGUCCCCAUCUUCAAACUCUAGAUCUACAUCAGGAGUAUCAGUCGAGAUCGUGGG